GCUGGCGGCGUGCUUAACACAUGCAAGUCGAACGGAGUGCCUAUGAUAGAGACUUCGGUCAAUGGAUUAGGUUACUUAGUGGCGGACUGGUGAGUAACGCGUGAGGAACCUGCCUUUCAGAGGGGGACAACAGUUGGAAACGACUGCUAAUACCGCAUGACACAUCGAUGGGGCAUCCCGUUGAUGUCAAAGAUUUAUCGCUGAAAGAUGGCCUCGCGUCUGAUUAGAUAGUUGGCGGGUAACGGCCCACCAAGUCGACGAUCAGUAGCCGGACUGAGAGGUUGACCGGCCACAUUGGGACUGAGAUACGGCCCAGACUCCUACGGGAGGCAGCAGUGGGGAAUAUUGGGCAAUGGACGCAAGUCUGGCCCAGCAACGCCGCGUGAAGGAAGAAGGCUUUCGGGUUGUAAACUUCUUUUGUCAGGGAAGAGCAGAAGACGGUACCUGACGAAUAAGCCACGGCUAACUACGUG
rnacentral:rRNA from 1 species